UCGGGUAAGUAAAGUGGCGCACGGGUGAGUAAUGGAUGAGAACAUGCCUUGAAGUGGGGAAUAACUACUGGAAACGGUAGCUAAUACCGCAUGGUAUCGCAAGAUUAAAGGUGGGGACCGCAAGGCCUACCGCUUCAAGAUUGGCUCAUCUCCCAUUAGCUAGUUGGCAGGGUAAUGGCCUACCAAGGCAACGAUGGGUAUGUGGUCUGAGAGGAUGAUCACACACACUGGAACUGAGACACGGUCCAGACUCCUACGGGAGGCAGCAGUAGGGAAUAUUGCACAAUGGGCGAAAGCCUGAUGCAGCAACUCCGCGUGAGUGAAGAAGGCCCUUGGGUUGUAAAGCUCUUUAGAGUGGAAAGAAGUGCCUGUGAGUGAACAAUUCGCAGGUGUGACGGUACCACUAGAAUAAGCACCGGCUAAUUUCGUGCCAGCAGCCGCGGUAAUACGAAAGGUGCAAGCGUUACUCGGAAUCACUGGGCGUAAAGCGCGCGUAGGCGGUCUCGUAUGUCGAUUGUGAAAGCCCCGGGCUCAACCUGGGAACUGCAGCCGAAACUGCGAGACUUGAAUGUUGGAGAGGGUGGGGGAAUACCUAGUGGAGAAGUGAAAUUCGUAGAGAUUAGGUGGAACACCAGAGGCGAAGGCGCCUGCCUGGCCAAACAUUGACGCUGAGGCGCGAAAGCGUGGGGAGCAAACAGGAUUAGAUACCCUGGUAGUCCACGCCGUAAACGAUGGAUACUCGGCGUUCGGAGAGUUAACCCUCUGAGUGCCAAAGUUCACACAUUAAGCAUCCCGCCUGGGAAGUACGGUCGCAAGACUAAAACUCAAAUGAAUUGACGGGGG
rnacentral:rRNA from 1 species